rnacentral:rRNA from 1 species
CCUACGGGAGGCAGCAGUGAGGAAUAUUGGUCAAUGGGCGAGAGCCUGAACCAGCCAAGUCGCGUGAAGGAUGAAGGAUCUAUGGUUUGUAAACUUCUUUUAUAUGGGAAUAAAGUGAGGAACGUGUUCCUUUUUGUAUGUACCAUAUGAAUAAGCAUCGGCUAACUCCGUGCCAGCAGCCGCGGUAAUACGGAGGAUGCGAGCGUUAUCCGGAUUUAUUGGGUUUAAAGGGUGCGUAGGUGGUUAAUUAAGUCAGAGGUGAAAGUUUGUGGCUCAACCAUCAAAUUGCCGUUGAAACUGGUUGACUUGAGUACAUUAGAGGCAGGCGGAAUUCGAUGUGUAGCGGUGAAAUGCUUAGAUAUGUCGAAGAACCCCGAUUGCGAAGGCAGCUUGCUGCAGCGGAACUGACGCUGAUGCUCGAAAGCGCGGGUAUCGAACAGGAUUAGAUACCCGAGUAGUC